GAAAGAUGCUGAACUGUUUUUGCGAUGUGUUCCUAAUAUGUACUACAAUUAUAUUGGGAACAUUUUGCAUAAAUAGUUUUGUAUCGAUAUA
ensembl:miRNA Mir450-1 microRNA 450-1